rnacentral:misc_RNA from 1 species
GGUGGAAGUGGUGGUCUCAUCAUUAGUGGAGGAGGUCCAAAAGGUGGUCUUGGCAAGAGAGGGACCAUCAUUCCAGGAGGAGCAGGCUGGAUGGCAAUUCCAGGUGGUGGCCGCAUAUCAAUUGGAGGAGGGGGUGGAGGGAACCGAGAUAUUCCAGGAGGUAAUACAUCAGGCUGAUAAGUUGGGACCAUGGCAGGUCCAAGACCUGAAGGGUGCCGUGGAGGUGGUGGAGGUAAUUUAAGAUGAUCUUUUGUUUCCAAAACUUUAGCAUCAGAGUCAGCAGGCAUGCCAUCUGACUUUAAUGGCAACCCUGGUGGAGGAGGUGGUGGGGGAAGCAUGGACGAGGCCUGAUUUUGCUCUGUUGAAGACAUUUCAUCCAGUUCAGAAAGAUUUUUAUCCCUUUCAUUUCCAACAAUGCCAGAAUGAGGAGGUUGAGCAGAUUGAUGAAGAGGUCGGGGAGGAGGUGGAGGAAGUGGAAGAUGGCCAGAGAUAUGUUCCUUUGGUGGGGGGCCAGGGGGUGGUGGGGGCAAAGGAGGUAAUGGCAAUGAAGCACCCAUGUCUGUCAUUGCAGGCUUUGGGGGCAUAGGUGGUGGAGGAGGUAAAGGUAAAGAUGCAGGAAUCACAGACCCAUCUACAGAAUCUGCAUCACCAGUUGGGGGCAAUGGAGGUGGUGGUGGCGGUGGCGGAAGAGCUGAUAAAGUGUCAUCUUCUGCAUCUGACUUUGACGAUGAUGCAGCUGAUGAUGGUAUUCUAGGUCCUAUUAAUGAUUUAAACAUGGGAGGUUUUCCAGGAGGAGGAGCUCCAGUAGGAUUCAGUGUAGGGUGAUAA